GACGAACGCUGGCGGCGUGCUUAACACAUGCAAGUCGAACGGACAGGCCCUGCUUUUGUGGGGUGCUCGAGUGGCGAACGGGUGAGUAACACGUGAGUAACCUGCCCUUGACUUUGUGAUAACUUCAGGAAACUGGGGCUCAUACCGGAUAGGAGCUCCUGCUGCAUGGUGGGGGUUGGAAAGUUUCGGCGGUUGGGGAUGGACUCGCGGCUUAUCAGCUUGUUGGUGUGGUAGUGGCUUACCAAGGCUUUGACGGGUAGCCGGCCUGAGAGGGUGACCAGGCACAUUGGGACUGAGGUACGGCCCAGACUCCUACGGGAGGCAGGAGGGGGGAGUAUUGCAGAAGGGGCGGAAGCCUGAUGCAGAAACGCCGGGUGCGGGAUGACGGCCUUCGGGGUGUAAACAGAUUUCGCCUGUGACGAAGCGUGAGUGACGGUAAUGGAUAAAGAAGCACCGGCUAACUACGUG
rnacentral:rRNA from 1 species